CACGUAGGGCGCAAGCGUUGUCCGGAAUUAUUGGGCGUAAAGCGCGCGUAGGCGGCUUUGCAAGUCGGGUGUGAAAUCCCCAGGCUUAACCUGGGAACUGCAUUCGAGACUGCAUUGCUAGAGUAUGGGAGAGGGAAGUGGAAUUUCCGGUGUAGCGGUGAAAUGCGUAGAUAUCGGAAGGAACAUCAGUGGCGAAAGCGACUUCCUGGACCAAUACUGACGCUCAUGUGCGAAAGCGUGGGGAGCAAACAGG
rnacentral:rRNA from 1 species